rnacentral:rRNA from 1 species
GGGUCAGCAGGUUGGUCGUGCCACCGGUACGUACUGGUCUCACUGAUUCCUCCUUCCUGAAGAACCGUAAUGCCAUUAAUUUGGUGUUGCGGGGAAAAAGGACUGUUACUUUGAAAAAAUUAGAGUGUUUAAAGCAAGCUAACGCUUGAAUACAUUAGCAUGGAAUAAUGAAAUAGGACGAUCGAUCCUAUUUUGUUGGUUUCUAGGAUUGACGUA